AUGUCUAACGGCCCUUAUGCCAUCUGUUAGUUAUGAUUUAUAAUAAUAACUUCUUUUUGAAACGUAAAUAAUUUUUCGAUUGAAUAAAAACAAACAAAUGGAUGAAAUGGUGAUUAAUCAAUGCAUACUAUAACAAUAUUAAUUUUUGUGCAUUCAAAAACCAAAUAAUAUUGUACAGCUCCCGCUUAUGCCGAAGAAUGCCUCAGUGCGAGCGACUGUGAACACUUAACAUGCCCAACGGACCACUCUCGGGAAUGCGACUGUGAACACUUAACAUGCCCAAAGGGACCACUCUCGGGAAUGCGACUGUGAACACUUAACAUGCCCAAAGGGACCACUCUCGGGAAUGCGACUGUGAACACUUAACAUGCCCAACGGACCACUCUCGGGAAUGCGACUGUGAACACUUAACAUGCCCAAAGGAACCACUUUCGGGAAUGCGACUGUGAACACUUAACAUGCCCAAAGGAACCACUCUCGGGAAUGCGACUGUGAACACUUAACAUGCCCUAAGGGACCACUCUGGGGAAUGCGACUGUGAACACUUAACAUGCCCAAAGGGACCACUCUCGGGAAUGCGACUGUGAACACUUAACAUGCCCAAAGGGACCACUCUCGGGAAUGCGACUGUGAACACUUAACAUGCGCAACGGACCACUCUCGGGAAUGCGACUGUGAACACUUAACAUGCCCAACGGACCACUCUCGGGAAUGCGACUGUGAACACUUAACAUGCCCAAAGGGACCACUCUCGGGAAUGCGACUGUGAACACUUAACAUGCCCAAAGGGACCACUCUCGGGAAUGCGACUGUGAACACUUAACAUGCCCAAAUGGACCACUCUCGGGAAUGCGACUGUGAACACUUAACAUGCCCAAAGGAACCACUCUCGGGAAUGCGACUGUGAACACUUAACAUGCCCAAAGGAACCACUCUCGGGAAUGCAGCAAUAGGCAGUUCACAUGCAUUCACCUGACCCUCCGCUGCAGCAUGGCUAUCGACUGCCAUAUUUUUUCUUGUUAUUUUGAAUGGCACUGCGUGGAUGGCAGAUGCCAAUGUAGAUUCGGAUUUGGGGGGAAAUAAACAGCAUUAUUCGUUUUUUAACAUUAUGUAUGGAGAUAUCUUUCAAGACAACUUGUUUGUAUUCGUUGGUUUAACAGGAAAUCGUAAUAUUUGUUUUGUACUUGUGUAUCGCAUGCACUUUUCUAUUACUAAUCCGAUAACGAUGCCUUUGAUGUUCAAAUAACAUAUAUGAAGACACCUUAAUAUUGUGCAGAUUACUUCAUAAGGACGAAAUUGUUAAUUAUUUAUUUGUUAAGGAAAAUGCAUUACGGUUGCAUGAUAAUUGAAGUAUAAGCACAAUAACAAAGUAUGACAAACACUGAUAAUUAUAAAAUACAUCUUUAAUCAGACGCUAAUCAAUAUCCUGUCAUAAAAUCGUAUAUAUUGUCACGGCUUUAUUAGUACAAGAAUCUGCAUUAAAUAAUAAAAUAACUUUCUAUAA